CUGUAUUAGCUGACCGAUAUUGCCGUCUGUAGCGCGGGCAAAUGAUUUCCUUUUCAGCUCCCAUAUCCAAUGGCUUUUGCUGCUGUUUUCAUUUGGGGGGGGGGGGUAUUCUGUGCCAUUGAAGUCGGUAUCUGUUCACACAGUACCGGACAGGACCGGGAGCCGCUACAGUUCUGUUCAUGUGGUCGACUGAAUCUGCGCAGCAACGGGAGGAUAGCCGCAAGUGCGACGACGAGGAAGCAAAAGCAGAUGAGGAGAGUGCGAACAACCUACAGGAUGGCGAGACUCCAGAUGCCAAGUUACUCCAAAAGAAUGGACAGAUCUCCGGGCUGAGUGGAAAAGCAGCGGGCAAGAUUGAAGAGGUCAACGGACUGUGUGAAGACAGGAUCGUUGCAGACGUUGGUGAGACAAAUUCAGUUAUCAUUUCUCAGAAUAAGGACAUUCCGGAGACGAUAGAGACUCUCACAGAGAAGAUACCACCUCUGGAAAAUGUGAUGGGAAGGAAUCACCAGAUGCAGAUGAUGAGGCAUCAACAAAUGAGACUGAAACAGAAGUUAAAUUAAAUGAAGUCAAUGAACGUUUAAAAAAAUUCUUCAGUUCAAUUUGUUUAAAAUUUACAUUGAAAAAAGACUGACACAACACAAGAAGAAGUGAGCCCUAAGAAAGUAGAUGGCGAAGCAAGAACUCCUGAGGAUAUCAAGGACACAAAAGAGACCACUAUAGAUAAUGCUGAGGAGAAUACCGAGCAGAGCAGAUCUGACUGAUAAAUUGUUGGUGAUACACCAACAAAGUCUGUUAGCGAUACACUAAAAGAGCUUAUAGAUGAUACACUAGAAAAACUGGUUGACGAAAUACUAAAAGAGCCUGCUGAUGAUAUACCAGAUGAGCCUACUGAAGAUACACAAAAAGAGCUUCUAGAUGAUACACUAGAAGAAGCGCAUAUCGACGAUGCACCGAAUGAGGUUGUUGAUGACACAACAGAGGAACCUACUGAUGAUUGUACCUCUUGCCAUAUGAUGACAGACCUCACAUUUGUGACAUUUUCUCUAUAAAACCACCAAGGAACAUACCACAUACCAGAAAUGAUAGAACCUAAGGAGGACGUCACACCUGAAGAAGUGGCAAAAGUAGAGAGAGAGGCAGAGGCACCAGGCCCACUGGUUCCGGUAGUUGACGAAAUGUCUCCAUUGAAAAAAAAAAUCCUGACAGGAAAAAUACACAAGCAGGUUAAUCAAGAACCCACAAAAGAAUACAAGGUGGAACCUAAGGAUGAAGUCAAGGAAGAACCUACGGAAGAACCCAAGACCGAACCCAAGGAUGAACCCAAAGAGGAACCAAAGGAAGAAGUCAAUGAGAAAUCUAAGGACAAAGUCAAGGAGAAAGUAGAGGAGGAAGUCUUCCCAACCGAAGAGACAGAGGCACCAGCACCAACCAUUCUGGAUGUUGAAGAACAAAUUAUAUCCCCAAUUAAGAAGUUUUUCACUACUGGAAUCUUUGCCGGUUUAAAGAAAAAGAAAAAGCUUAUAGAAGAGGAAACGCCCGAAUAUGCGACCGUUGAGAAGGAACAGGAACUGCAAAGCAUUGAAAAACAGGAGGACAUAAACACAGCAGAGGAGGCUGGACUUGAACAAGAACAAACAAAAGAGGAGAUCAGUCCAGGGGUUGAGGGGGAACAAAAUGAGAAAGAACUUAAAUUUGAAAUUGCAGCCACAAUGUUAGCCGGAGAAAUAGAUUCCCUAAUGGCUGAGGCAUCCAAUGUCCCCGAACUCAUUAAGAGUAAUGUCCCUAAAAGUAGUGGAAACAGAGAGGAUGUUCUUGAAGAGCAGACAGCUACUAAUAUAUUACAGACAAUUAUCUCAAAUGAAGCUGAACUUCUUAGUUCAGGAAGUUCAGUCCAGGAUAUUCUUGAAGACCUGUGUCCUUCUUGGAGUUUCAUAACCGUUACAACAAAUAAAGUUGAAACAAAUGAAGCCAAACUUCUUAACUCUCAAAACAAAGUUAAAACACAGGAAAGUCUUGAAGAGCAGUCUCAUUCUUGGGGAUUUGUCACCGUCACAGAGGAUGUUCCUGAAGAGGAGCCAGCUCCUGUGGUAUUACUGACAGUUACCUCAAAUGAGGCUAAACUUCUUAACUCUCAAGAGAAAGCUAAAACCCAAGGAAGUCCAGUCCAGGAUAUUAUUGACAAGCAGUCUUCUUUUUGGGGAUUCCACACAGUUAUCGCAAAUGAAGCUGAACUUCUUAGCUCACAAGAGAAAGCUAAAAAUCAAGGAAGUCCACUGAGGAAGCUCUUGUCUGGGGCUGGUUUGAAGAAGCUUACUAGGAAGCGGAGAGGUAGUAAACCAGACAAGUUGACUGGAUCUGGUGAGCAUGUAGCUGAGGAUCUACUGUCAUCCACAGAUUCAGUGGAGUACCAGAAAGGAGAAAAUACUGCCUCUCUGCCAGAAGAAUUAUCAGCAGAGCAGGUAAAUGUGUCUGCUCAGGCUGGGUUGAGCCACGAAUCAGAUGAUGUAACCUCUGACAGUGAAAGGAAGAAGGAUGGUACCUGGACUUCCUUCAAAAAACGAAUGACGCCCAAAAGACAUCUCAAAAGAUCCUCUGAGAGUGAGGAUGAGUCAGCACUUAUAGGUUUACAUGAGGAGCCAAAGCAAAGUGAAGGGGAACAGGUACUAGAACAUAUCACAGAAGAGCCCAAAAAAAAGGUUGAUAUAUCUGUUUCUUGGGAGGCUUUCCUAUGUGGAUCUGCAAAGAGGAGGGGCAGAAAAACAUCGGACUCAGAGGAGCAAGCACCCAUGAAUGAAAGUACAAUACUAAGUGAACCAGGAAACACUGCAGCGUUGCCAUUGGACAGUUCUCAGGAGAGAGGUUAUGAACAUUUUACCUCUUCCCCUGAGCAAGUUGGAAGUCCCUCGGGGAGUGAAGGGGUGUCUACAUGGAAAUACCUUAAAAAGCUGAUCACCUCAAAAACAAAGGCAAAAACCGGGGAGGCCAUCAAAGUUAACUCACCAGAGCAGAUGCAAUCUGGCAUCGAAAUCACCAAAGAGAAGUCUUCUUUUUCUCUAAAGAAACUCAUCCCUGGACGCAAAAAGGGAAAGCAUGUAGAAAAGCAGGAACCAAUCUCUUCUGACAAGGCAGAUAUGGGUGUUGGAUCGGACGAUGAGGAGGACUCUGAAACGCCAGCAGUGGUCCCCAUGGCAGAGUUUGAAGCAGAAGAGCUAGGAGAGAAACACAACAUAUCAACUGAGGCUGUUAUAGAAACUCUAUUACACAUAACAGAAGAAGAAACCCAGCCAGACGUCUCUAGCACUUUCACCGAAUCGACCAUACCCAAAGACACCCUGCCCACUGAAGUAGAGAAGGCUCAAGCCAAAUAUACUGUGGAACAGUUGACCCCAUCAACAUCCCCCACUGCUAUGGAAAACUUUGAGGACCUUACAGAAUUCAUAAGUAAACAUCGGCAACUCAGUGAUAUACCUGAAGAAGUGUCUACUCCUGAAGAAGCCACUCAAGACGAUACCAUAGCCGAGGACCUAAUAGAGUUGACAUCUGAAGCAGUCACUGCCCCAGAACCUCUAGAUGAAGAAACAACAGAAAUGGUUUCAGCAGUGUCACAGCUGACAGAUGAGUCCCCCAAAACAUCAGGCAGCACAACACCUGUCCCAAUAGAAUACGAGUUAAAGGAUACAGAGUUACUUCUGCAUGAGACUGUUGAUACCAUUAGCAGAACCCACACUCUCUCAUUGGUAAAUAGAAAAGGCCCACAUCUGGAAUGUAUUUCAGUUUCUCCACAAAUAUUACACACACCAAAAGAGAAGGAAGCAACAGUUUUGAUAGCUCAUAAAAAAUCAGAUGCAGUUAAAAUCUGCACAGGUGAAGAGUCUCAACAAAUUGAUCUUGUUGAUAAAAGCCCAGUGACUCCUAUGGUAGAAUGUCCAUCUGAGGUCACUGAGGACACUGAAGAGUCUGAUGCUGCAAGAAUCACUACAGAUGAUUUACACAAAGCUGAAGAUGAAUCAAUUACAAUUAUGCACAUAGAAACUGAAAAGGACCCACAAACAGAAUUGGUAAAUGAGUUAGAAGAGGCAAGACCAGAACUUGUAUCCUACAUUAAUUCAGAAGAAGGUGUAGCUCAGGUUGACGAAAAGGUGGUAGCAGAAGAAACUCCACAGCCUGAUACAGAGAGUCUGGAUGUAUCAGUCACAGACAAACGUAUCUCCAUACAACCUCUCACGGAGUUCACUCUUGAAGAAGAGAAAGCGGAAUUCCUGGAUGUUGCGGAGGAUGCUGCAUACAAUGAGAAUGCACCAGUUAUAGAAACAAUCACAUGUGAGGUUCAAGAUGUCACAGCUGCAAUGCAUGACGUUUCAAUGUCGAAACCAUCUGACGUUCUGGAAUGUUUGAUUGCCAUAGUGACACCUGAAGUAGAAUCCCCAGAGAAAGGGGAUCCUGUGGGUUCUCUAAGACCACUUGAAGAAGCAAGACCAGUACUUGUCACCACCGUUAAUUCAGAAGAAGCUCAGGUUGAAGGAAAAGACGUUCUGAAAACUUUGAUUGCUGUAGUGUUACCUGAAGUAGAAGCCCCAGAGAAGAAAAAUCCUUUGGGUGCUCUAAGACCACUCAUAUGCUCUGCUAUGGUUCAGACACUAAAGGUAGAGGACAUGGUUGUGAUGAAGAAUGUGCCUUCAGCACAGUUUGUUGAUGGCCAUGUGAUCCAAGUACAAGUGACGGAUGCAGAGCUAAAGUCAGGUGAAGAAAUUGAUGAGAUAGUGCUUGAAGUGGGCUCAUCUGAUGCAAAUGAUCACAAGAUUCUAUUACAACAGGUGAACACUGAGAUUGAAUCAGAUGAAGCAAAUGUUAAGACAACCCGUGAGGUGGGCUCAACUGAUGAUCACGAGAUUAUAGUACAAGUGGCGGAUGCAGUGUUAAAGUCUGCUCAAGUAAUUGUUGAUCAAGGGCUUGAAAUGGACUCAACCAAUGUCACUGAUCAUGAGAUCCAAUUAAAAGGGUUGGAUGUAGAGAUUGAAUCAGCUGAAACAAUUGUUGAUACAGUUCUUGAGGUUGUCUUAACUGAUGUCAAGGGUCAUGAGAUCCAGGUACAAGUAACAGAUGCAAAUGCUGAGAAGGGUUCAGCUGAAGUUAUUGUGGAGACAGCACUUGAGGUGGUUUCCUCAACCGAUAUUAUAGAGGUCAUAGACGUUUGUGACAAAAUGGAGGACGAAGGAGAGGGUGAGAAUGCCACUGAGAAGAUUGAGGACUACAUGUUUGAAGAGGCCAGCAGUAUUAUAACUCAGGAAAUUGUCCAACAUGUGCAGCAGAACUCAUCAGAAGACCCCAAUGUUGUACCACAAUCAAGUGAAAAGGCUGAAGUUGAAUUAUCGAGUGAAGCAGAAGUUUCGAAAUCACCAGAGAAUACACCAGCGGUCGCAGUUAUAGAGAGACAAGGACAUCCACAUGUAACUGCACAGGUGCAAAAGACAAUUCAUUUAUUUGAAAACUACUUUGAUCUUAAUACUCAGGGAAAUGCACAAGAACCUUCAGAAAAAGAAACGGAGCCCUCGAUUGCUCUCGAAGUUGAUAUAGUAUGUGAGGAUAGAAAAACUCCUGAGGCAUUUGUAGAGCCCACUUCUGAAUUCAACAGCAUACCUGACGACACAGUUCCCACUACAUUUGCAGAGUCUUGUUCACAGGCAGAUGUGCAAGAUGUUUUUGGAACAGAGGCUGAAUUCAUGAUUUAUUCUGAAGUAGAUCAAGCCAUUGAUGUUUCUGACUCUACUAGCGGGCAUGAGAAGGAACUAGUGGGAAUGGUAGUAGAAUCAGCAAAGGAAUCAGUGGAGUCGUUUGAAAAGAGACUAUCUAUUGAAUCCCAUGUCCAUAUCCAUCUCCACAUUAAACCCAGAGAUACUGGAGUUGUGUCCACGGGAUUAGAGUCACCACUGCGUGCUAUUUGGCCACCUCCAAGUACUACUGCAGAAGUUGCAGUGAAUACUGACAGCCUUCUAACAGAAUCAAUAGAAUGUGAAAGUACUAUUGCAAAAGGUUCUGUGAAUACUGACUGCGUUCUAACAGAAUCAAUGGAAAGUGCUCAACUUUGUGAAGUCAGUCAAAUUGAACAAACCAGUGCCACUGCACCUCAUGUGCCACUGCAUACCCCACCUGCAACAGUGCUGUACACCCUAAACCCUGAAACAGAACAGGUAAUGACCAAUGCAGUAGGGUCUAACCCACACAUAGAGGAAGAUAAUGACCUAGAACUGUGGCUGGAUGCUGAGGAAGAUAUUGGCACAGUAAAAUCCAAUAUCUUGGAGGUUCUAAGCAAAAAAGCAGAUAGAGUAGAGAAGACGCUGCAGGACAGUGGAGAUAUAUUUGAUAUUGCACUUGAGCCUCAAAGCUUUCUGUCCGGAGGUGAUACCUAAUAAGACUGCAGCCAUUCUACCAAACUGACGUAUCAUGAACUGGUUUAACGAGCUAAAGGAGUGCUGGACUACCAAAGAACGACCUGAAAGAGAAGAUAGAAGUCCGCACAUGAAGGAUGACCCACCACAACGGAGCUAAUGGAGACAUUCUUCGGAUCGUUGAAUACAUUAAUGUGGAGCCCUGCCUUGAGAGGGACAGACUGAGGAUGAGGGUCUCUGUGUUGGAGGAGAGUGUGAGGUCCUACGAGGUAGAGUGUAAAGCCAGCAGAGAGACGGUGAUGAGACUGGUGGCAGAGGUGGCCCGGGAGAGGAGGAACACAGCAGGCAGUGCAGAGGCUCUCGAUCUGCUCAGACUGGAUUUAGAUAGUGCCUUGCUGACCAAGAGGAGCACAGAUAUGGAGAACCAGAGUCUAGCAGAGAGGCUGGAGGCCAAUCAACGUGUGGUUGAGGCAGCCAAGCAAGAGGCAGGGUGCCUGGAGAGGCAGAUCCAGGAGCUGGAAGGGAAACUCCAGACCAGCCAGGGGAAAAACCAGGCUACAAAGGGGAGACUGCAGGCCCUCCUGGGGGAGGUAGGGGCCCUUCUGCAGCUGGGUCUCUCCAUGCCAACUGAGGAGGAAAUACUACAGAGACUCGGGGACCUCUGCACCAGGCAGGAACGUAUGAAAGCGAUCACGGAGGAGAUGGAGAGGAGGCUGUCCCAGGUCCGUGAGGAUGUGUCCAGGCAGACAGAGCUCCACCACAGUGCCCUGCAGAGAGCCCAGCUGGCUGAGCAACAGGUCACAGACCUCAGCGACAGGCUGCAGGGUUUGGAAGCUGAGCUGAUGACUUCAGACGUGCACCGAGAUGGGCUGAGUCAUGACAGACAGCUUUAUGAGCAGUUCCUGGAACAGUUGUCAGAGAGGAUGAAAGUAGACGGUAUCGCCACUGACCUGGGCUACGACAUGAGACUUCAGCUCAUUCUGUCUCGGGCAGAGCAACUUGUCAAACUAGAAGGGACGGCUUUGGUGGAGAGCAAGACCCUGGCCCACAACCAACAGCGAAAGUUGAAGAUCCAGAAGGAGCGGUUGGAGAGUAAGGAGCUCCACAUGGAGCUGUUGAGGAGGAAGGUGUCUGAGCUAGAGGAGGAAAAGAGAAGUCGCUCAGCCCUGGCCAUGCAGCGAGACGACGCCAAUGUGACCGCCCGGAAGAUGCAGGUAGCCUAGAGGUUAGAGGGUUGGGCAAGUAGUCAGAAGGUUGCUGGUUCAAGCCCCAGGCACGGGCGUAAAAAGUGGAAACUGAACCGGCAACUGAAGGGCUGCUGGUCUAUGAUCCCAGGUACUAGCUCCUGCCAUUGUGCCCUUUAGCAUGGCACUUACCCCCUAAAACUGAACCCCUAAAGCUCCACAUCCAGGGGCGAGGUUAAGAUAGACAGAAGCCACAUUUCUGUUUCUUACUAAACUGACGAUGAAGUAUGUAUUCUACUCUAUCUAAAGAAUCUAUUCUAUCUUAAGUAUCUAUUCUAUCCUAAAGAAGAAGGUGGAGCGACUACAGGAGGAACUAGGAUCCACUAAGGUCUCCAUCACAGAGCUCAAGGCCCAGCUGUCACACACCAACGAGCUGAAGGUAGAGGGCAGGACAGCUCAGGCCCACACAUCCUCUAGAGGCAGAGUCAUAUAACUUCAUUUCCUGGCGACUUCCUGUAGCUACAAGAUUGCAUAUUGAGUUUGAAAAAAAGUUGGUUAUUAAAACCCCUAAGCACUGUCUUAUAUGUAAAUUGGGAAUAAUUGUUUAAAGACUAUACUUUCUAAUGUUAUGUUGUUGUUAAGUAACAUGAUCAAAAUACAUUCAUGUCCAAUUUGGAAUGAUGUGUCGAAGCUCAAAGUCCUGGAGCAGAGUCAGACCAAUGCAGAGCAGAGUAAGAGACUGGAGGACCUGGAGAAGGGCAAGGCCAAGGUGGAGAAGAAGUUCAGCACAGCCAGGACAGACCUACAGAGCCAGGAGCAUCUGGCCAGGGAGGCCCAGCAGCAGUUGACCAGCCUUAGACAGACCCUGGCUCAGCUCACUGACAGAGAGAGAGAGUUGGUAGACUUCCGUAUGGUGGUCUCUCAGAUGUUAGGUCUGGAUGUCUCAGCCCUGGCCCUUCCAAACUAUGAGAUCAUCAAAUCUCUGGAGAGCCUGCUUCACCCCCACCAUGACCUCCACCACCACUCCCUGGCCCUGUCCUGGCCCUGUCCUACCCACUACCAGAACCACCCUCUCCUACAGCUCCAGGACCGAGAUACCUCUGGGUCUGUCACAUCCCGCUCAGCUUUCUCUCAGAGGUCCACUGGCCCCGGAGGCUCUCCUGUGAACGAAACGUAUAUCUGCUCAUCCGGAGGACUCUGCUCAGGACAGGCACCUGUAUGAUAUGAAUGAUUUAUUUAAAUGAGGAAAAUGUAUUCAUUUGAGAUGCAUCAUAUAUAUUUUUGCCCGUUGAAAUUGGAUUUGACAUGAGUUUAUGUCGUAUCCAAAGUCAGAUCCACUUACUGUCAAGUCAAUACCACUGAAUCAGCCAUUUUGAAUAAAAGACACAAUCAAAAUGA